ACAUUGAAAAAGGGGAAUGUCUU
rnacentral:snRNA from 1 species